AAUUUACUCGAGUAAAAUAAAUUGCUUAAUUACUAGCAAAAUUUCAAUAUUGCAUCGCUUGCUUUUACUGUCAAAUGAUGUUUAAUAAAUUUCCUCUCGAAAUUGAUUAAUAUGAUUUCAAGCUUACCAGAACGAGAAUCUUCGUGUCACAGCGAUAUUUAUAAUUUAACCAACGAGAACCGUAUGGCUUUAUGAGUACUUGAAGUUUAUCAAAAAAAAGAGUAAAGAAUAAGUUUCAUAUUAUAAUGCAGACAGAGCAGAACUGUAUUAUACGGAUGAACGGAUUUUGUCUGUCUGUUAAUUACAUUGAUUGUGAUGAAUUACAUAAUACAGGUUACAUAUUUGUCUUGAAAAGUUGUUCAAAAGUAAACAAAUUACUCUUGCCGGUAAAGUUAUUUCAUGAAACAAAAAAGUUGAAUCAGGAAAUUCCUCAUCAAAAUACUGAAAAAAGUUAUUGAAUUUCAACUCUGAUCACAUAUUUUAUCCAUACUUUAUUAUGAUUUCUUCUUAACCAUGAUUUAUAUUUGUUUGUGCAAGCAUCUCAAUUCUGUAGUUCAUUUUUCAUUCUGAUCCAACUAUAAGUUGAUUAGUUUUCGUCUUCGCUUUACACUCGACAUUAAACAACGUUAGUAGCUUUAAGUUUAAUUCAAGUUUCAGUGUUUGAAUCAGUUUCGAAUUAUUAUGUUGACAAUUUAACAUGCGGUUGUAAGAAUCUUAAGAAUCAAAAUCCUUUCAUGAUGAAAAAAAUUUAUGAGUUAAAAAGAAACGCAAAAAACGAAAAAAAUUGACAAAAGAUGAAAAUCUGUGAGCAAAAUCGGAAAUCCGGAAGAAGUACAUUGUAAUUAAAAGUUAAUGUUGACAAGCAAUGUAUCGCUUCAAGUUGGAUACCAAGCAAACACACACAAAGUAUUACAUGCACAUGAACACAGAUAUUAUAAUUAAAUUAUAUAUUAAAAUGUGUAUAAAAUCCAAGCAAAGGAAAAAGUAGGAAACCAGAAAAAAAACAACAGCGAUGAUUCCGUGGAGGUUGCUGGUGUGUGCACUUUUCGUUGCUGUCUUUUUGUUGUUUGUGCUCAAAAGCAAUGUUCAAAAGCUGAAAAGAAGAAGAAGAAGAAGCAAGAAAAGGAAAAGGCAGACAGACUGACAGACCAUUGGAUGUGAUCCAUCAUUAAGUCUCGUGGUAUCACGUACUUAUCAGAAAGGUUACUGACUAAAUACUGGGAUCCGGUCUCACAGGGUUGAUCAUUCAUGUUUCAAGUGUGACCUUAAUUAUGUCCAAUCAAGCUAUCAGAUAGUGAAAUUGCAAUGGAUCUACUAAUGGGUAAAAAGGUAAUGGUAAAACAUUGGAAGUCCCUUCAUUGUUAUUCAGUGAGCGAUAAUCAACUUAAUGAAGACAAAACAAAAGGAAAAGGGAAAAAAAGAAUUGGCGAAAGAAGCGAAAAAAGAAAUUAAGAAAAUGGAAGAAAGAAAUAACUCAAAGGAAUCAACUAUCAUCAACAAAGGCAGAUGGUUUAUGCAGUUAACGGACAUGGUUAUUUCAAGUUUGCCAAAAUAUUAUUCAACGCAAAACGGCACAAAAGAGGAAUCAA